UACAGAGACUGCAAGCGUUAUUCGGAUUCACUGGGCGUAAAGGGUGCGCAGGCGGCCAAGUGUGUGAGGCGUGAAAGCCUGGGGCUUAACUCCAGAAUUGCACCUCAAACUACUUGGCUAGAGCAUUGGAGAGGGUAGCAGAAUUCAUGGUGUAGCAGUGAAAUGCGUAGAUAUCAGGAGGAACACCGGUGGCGAAGGCGGGUCUCUGGGCAGUAACUGACGCUGAGGAGCGAAAGCGUGGGGAGCGAACAGG
rnacentral:rRNA from 1 species